AGGCAUAGGAUUGAGAAGGUUAGAAAUUCUGAUGGUAAGAAAAGAUAAAAAAGAAAUUCAUCAGUAAUACUUGUACACACGAUUUUGAGUCGGAGAAAGAAAACAAUUGAGGUUUCAGUGAUUUAAAGCUAUUCAACCAAGGAUUGACUUGUCUUAAUGGUUAUUCAUAUGUAUACAACUGAAGUCUUAAACAUUGUACAGGCUCUGGAGUGACAGAUGAUGUGGGAAAGUACACGAUAACCAGCAGGAGAAGUACAGUAUGAUUCAUUAGGCUUUAAAUUUUUAUGUAUUAUGUGUCAAAAUUCAAUAGAUUAGUGAUCUGUAUCAUUAAAG